UUUGGAACCAGUCUAUUGUUCCGUAUCUGGUUCUAACUGUAGCUUCUUGACCUACAUACAGAUUUCUCAGGAGGCAGGUCAGGUGGUCUGAUAGUCCUAUUUCUUUGAGAAUUCUCCACAGUUUGUUGUGAUCUACACAGUCAAAGGCUUUGGC